GUAGGAACCUACGAGGUACACUGCAUAUCAAAGGGAUCUCUUGGUUCUUUUCUUUCUAUUUCCCACUUCUUUUAGUCCUUCAUGAAGAAAUGAUAUUUUUGUAGACUGAGAUAAACAGAGGAGAGGUGGCUAAUGGGCUCAACUGUUACAUGAAACAAUAUGGAGUUACCAAGGAGGAAGCAUCCCGAGAGUUGCGUAAAAUGUACGUAUACCGCAAAAAAGUGGUUGUGGAGGAGUUCAUGAACUCACAUGAUCAUGUGCCGCGUCAAGUUCUUCUGCGAUGCCUCAACAUUGCACGUAUCUUCGAUGUGUUCUACACGGAAGGUGAUGGAUACAGUGAACCCAAGGGCAAAAUCGAACACUUUAUGACAUCCUUGUACCUCCACCCUAUACCCCUUUCAUAAUGACGUGGAACACACACCAAUCUAGGUCUAUUCGGGGAUGCUUUGAAAUUAAAAAACAAAACAAAAGUAGUCCUUUGUUCUCUGUUUGUUCACUGUUACUCUAAGGCAUGACUACUGUCACUCUGGUAUCUGUCUAAACUCUUAAGAACUUUGAACACAACCAAACUAAUUUAACUAAACAUCGAGAAGUAAAAAGAGAUGGUACCUUGAGUUUUCUAUCUGUAAUUUCAUGGAGCCUCCAAAGUGCUUGUCCAUGACCAUGAUCUCAGAUUACUCUGCAUUGUUAAGUUUCAGAACAUCAAUAGCUCUUUUUAUAGUAGCAUUAUAAGCACUCAAUAGGCUAACAAAUUAACUCCUUCUCAUCACGAAUUAAAAAGAGAAUAUGAUUAAAAUGUUCUCUUUUCUCAGCAGUAAAUUGUAUAAUUCUCCGGCGGAAACAAAACACAAAGCUCGAAACUUUACCAUUAUAUUGGUUUCCCUCCGUAGUCUACGGCAAAGGAGAAAAAAAGCAGGAGCAAUCCGACCAGAUGGAAACGAUCAUUUCAGAAUCUUAUCAUGUCCUAACGACGGCGUCUCCGGCGAGGCACAUCGGUGAGAUAAGUGAGAAAAAUGGGUCUGUU
rnacentral:lncRNA from 1 species